rnacentral:snoRNA from 1 species
UGGCUGUGAUUUAAUCUUUACCCGCGCUUCUGAGAUUCAUCGAUGAAGCACAACGGUAAAAAAAAAAAAGGAUGAAUUUCUUGAUAUGAGCCG